rnacentral:rRNA from 1 species
AUGCAAUCUACCUUGUACAGAGGGAUAGCCCAGAGAAAUUUGGAUUAAUACCUCAUAGUAUUGUUGAAUGGCAUCAUUUAAUAAUUAAAGUUCCAACGGUACAAGAUGAGCAUGCGUCCUAUUAGCUAGUUGGUGUGGUAACGGCAUACCAAGGCUACGAUAGGUAGGGGUCCUGAGAGGGAGAUCCCCCACACUGGUACUGAGACACGGACCAGACUCCUACGGGAGGCAGCAGUGAGGAAUAUUGGACAAUGGGCGCAAGCCUGAUCCAGCCAUGCCGCGUGCAGGAAGACGCAUCUAUGGUGUGUAAACUGCUUUUGUACGGGAAGAAACACUCCCUCGUGAGGGAGCUUGACGGUACCGUAAGAAUAAGGAUCGGCUAACUCCGUGCCAGCAGCCGCGGUAAUACGGAGGAUCCAAGCGUUAUCCGGAAUCAUUGGGUUUAAAGGGUCCGUAGGCGGUUUAAUAAGUCAGUGGUGAAAGCCCAUCGCUCAACGAUGGAACGGCCAUUGAUACUGUUAGACUUGAAUUAUUGUGAAGUAACUAGAAUAUGUAGUGUAGCGGUGAAAUGCUUAGAUAUUACAUGGAAUACCAAUUGCGAAGGCAGGUUACUAACAAUAUAUUGACGCUGAUGGACGAAAGCGUGGGGAGCGA